CCCUGGUUGGGGAUCUAAGAUCCACAUUACGCACGAUAUGACCCAAAAAUAAAUAAAACUGGCUGUUAUUAUGUGUGGGUGGGUAACUGUAUUGAGGGAUAGGUGGCUGAAUGGGCUGCCCUCUUGCCAUCUUCAAAACCAGAUGUCUCCCCCGACACACCUCCUUCGGGUCCCAUCUCCCCAACAUCAGACUUCCAGGAAUGUGUCAGAAAUGCCCCAUGUCGGACUGCCCUGUGCUUCUCCCUGGGUCAGUGAGGAGGAAAGGAGGGGGCCCGGGGUGAGGGAGGCAGGGCAGCCGGUGACUUCCUGCCCUCGGCCCGCUGGCCAGGGCUGGGCCCAGGACUGUUUCCUUCCUGUUCAGCACUGCCUGUUGAGUGUGGCGUAGACUUGGGGGCCCCCAGGCGGACUGGGAGUUGGGGUGUUGAUGACUUGUAAGCUGUGCUCAGAUCUCACACCCUAACGCCCCAGACAGCACUGAAUCAGUCCUGCCUCCUGGAAGCCCACUCUUUCUGACUUCUCUGCCACACCCCCAGCAUGAGCUCAUUUUAUUCCUCAUCAUAAUUCCUGGAAGCUCCAGUUACCUCAAACCUUCAGCACGACAACAGGCACCUGGGAAGCCUCCACAAAUGCUCUGAACAGGAACUGGCUCCAGCAGUGCCCUGGGAGUGGGUGGGGUAGGACGAGGUUGACCACAGAUGUAUCACCAAUCAGAAACAUUUGGGGAACACAGUGUCUUUAAAGAUGCUCUGUCCCCCAAUUUGUUCCUCAAUCCCUCCUCUCUUGGUGGGAAAACGACCUCCCAGCCACAAGCCCUGAGGGUCCCUCUCAUCCUGUCCUUUGACACUGGAGUGGACUUUUCAAAAAUGCCACAGUCAUGAAAAACAAAAGCAGAGGAUUGCCCUAAAUUACGAGAUUAAAGGAGUAUGACCAGCAAAUUCAAUGGGUGAGUCUUUAAAAAAAAAAAAUUACUUGGCUGUGCCAGGUCUUAGUUGCGGCAUGCAUGAGGGAACUUCGUUUCAGAAUGUGGGAUCUUUUAGUUGUGGCACGCAAACUCUUAGUUGCGGCUUGUGUGAUUAAGUUCCCUGACCAGGAAUCGAACCUGGGCCCCCUGCACUGGGAGCAGGAAGUCUUAGCCACUGGACCACCAGGGAAGUCCCACAAUGUGUGAAUCCUGAUUGAACUGCGGGUUGGAAAAAAAGUCAAAAACUAAAAUGACACCUUGGGGAUAACUGGGAAAUUUUUAACGGGGAGUAUAUUUUAGAUACUAAUAGUGUAUCGAUCGAUGUUAAAUUUCUGGUGUGUGAUAACUGCAUUGUGGUCAUUAAGGAGAAUGUCCUUAAUCUUAGGCAAUGGAUACUGAAGUAGUGGUCAGGGUGGGGAGAUGUGCCAUACCCACACCUAUGAACCAUCAGCAAAAUGAAAAUGAAGCGUGUGUGUGCACGCAGGUGAUCAUUUUAUUGUUACAAUGUUUUCAAAAUGAAAAGUUUGGAGGAGAAAGGUCUGUGAUAAAAGAGGGGUGCCAUUCCAACUGUCUGGGAGAAAGAGGAGGGGAAUUGCAGCUGGGGGUUCUAAUGGGGUAGCUCAGGGGAAGCACUUCGACUCUGUGACCUGAUUACUGACCCCCCCACCCCGCCGCCCCCGCACACUAGCCUUCCACCCCUGGUGCCCAGAAAGCAUUCAAAUCUAACCUCCCCCCGUCUCCCUGCCCCCAUGGCCUGACUCUCUGAAUCUUCCACAAAGUGUCUUAGGUCCUCAUCUGAUGGGACCUCCCCUGGUGGAAGGCCACCCCCUGGCCAAGCUAGAAUAAUACCUGAAGCAUCUUAAAGGUGCACAGCUCAUCUCCCUGGAGAAUGAACUGAACCUCAGUGGGCUUGACCCACCAUUAGUUUUUAAAAAUUACAUUCACUUAGAGAGGGAAAGGGAAUGUAAACUGGUGAAUGUAAACUGGUGAAGCCACUAUGGAAAACAGUAUGGAGGUUCUCAAAAAAAUAAAAAUAGAACUACUAUGUGACCCAGCAAUUCCACUCUUAGGUAUAUAUCUGAAAAAAAUGAAAAAACCAGUUCCAAAGAUAUACUCACCCCACCGAUCACAGAGGCAUUAUUUACAAUAG